rnacentral:rRNA from 1 species
ANAGUUUGAUUCUGGCUCAGAACGAACGCUGGCGGCGUGCUUAACACAUGCAAGUCGAACGAGAAAGUUUCCUUCGGGAAACGAGUAGAGUGGCGCACGGGUGAGUAACGCGUAGGUAAUCUACCCUUAUAUUUGGGAUAACAUUGGGAAACUGGUGCUAAUACCGAAUGGUCUUCAUUGCUUUGGGGUGAUGGAGUAAAGGUGGCCUCUUCAUGAAAGCUACCGUGUAGGGAUGAGCCUGCGUACCAUUAGCUAGUAGGUGGGGUAAUGGCCCACCUAGGCGACGAUGGUUAGCGGGUCUGAGGGGAUGAUCCGCCACACUGGAACUGGAACACGGACCAGACUCCUACGGGAGGCAGCAGUGAGGAAUAUUGCGCAAUGGGGGAAACCCUGACGCAGCGACGCCGCGUGAGUGAGGAAGGUUUUCGGAUCGUAAAGCUCUGUCAGAAGGGAAGAAGUGUUAUACAGUUAAUACCUGUAUAAUUUGACGGUACCUUCAGAGGAAGCACCGGCUAACUCCGUGCCAGCAGCCGCGGUAAUACGGAGAGUGCGAGCGUUGUUCGGAAUUACUGGGCUUAAAGGGCGUGUAGGCGGAAGAUCAGGUGUUUAGUGAAAGCCCCGGGCUCAACCCGGGAAUCGCUGGGCAAACCGAUCUUCUUGAGGCAGGUAGAGGUGACCGGAACGACUGGUGGAGCGGUGAAAUGCGUAGAUAUCAGUUGGAACGCCGGCGGCGAAAGCGAGUCACUGGGCCUGUCC